UCUGUACCAGAUUCUCAGCUCAUCCUCUGAAGUACAAGACCUUCAACAGACAGGCCUCCUAAUCCUGGAUGACAGGUAACCCAGACCUUCAACAGACAGGCCUCCUAAUCCUGGAUGACAGGUAACCCAGACCUUCAACAGACGGGUCUUGUAAUCCUGGAUGACAGGUAACCCAGACCUUCAACAGACAGGCUUCCUAAUCCUGGAUGACAGGUAACCCAGACCUUCAACAGACAGGCUUUAUAAUCCUGGAUGACAGGUAACACAGACCUUCAACAUAGGUCUUAUAAUCCUGGAUGACAGGUAACCCAGACCUUCAACAGACAGGCCUCCUAAUCCUGGAUGACAGGUAACCCAGACCUUCAACAGACAGGUUUUAUAGUCCUGGAUGACAGGUAACACAGACCUUCAACACAGGUUUUAUAAUCCUGGAUGACAGGUAACCCAGACCUUCA
ensembl:lncRNA